GAUGAACGCUGGCGGCGUGCCUAAUACAUGCAAGUCGAGCGAACAGACGAGGAUUUUGCUCCUCUGACGUGAGCGGCGGACGGGUGAGUAACACGUGGAUAACCCACCUAUAAGACUGGGAUAACCUCGGGAAACCGGAGCUAAUACCGGAUAAUAUAUUGAACCGCAUGGUUGGAUAGUGAAAUACGGUUUUGCUGGCACUGAUAGAUGUAUCCGCGCUGGAUUAGUUAGUUGGUAAGGUAACGGCUUACCAAGGCAACGAUGCGUAGCCGACCUGAGAGGGUGAUCGGCCACACUGGAGCUGAGACCCGGUCCAGACUCCUGCGGGAGGCCGCAGUAGGGCAUCUUCCGCAAUGGGCGAAAGCCUGACGGAGCGAGCCCGCGUGAGUGAUGAAGGUCUUCGGAUCGUAAAACUCUGUUAUUAGGGAAGAACCAAUGUGUAAGUAACUAUGCACGUCUUGACGGUACCUAGUCAAGAAGCCACGGCUAACUACGUG
rnacentral:rRNA from 1 species